GUUCCAUAAGCUUUCAUGUGGAAAGAGCACCAAACCGUCCAUCUCCAUAGCCUUAUAACACUCAACAAGGCUAAUUUUGCAGAUGAAAGAGAAGGUAUUUAUGAUGCUAAUUUUCUUCUUUAUGAGGGAUUUCUCUGAGGAUAAGAAGAGUAGUUUAUGAUGGUGGAUUUUUUGGUGUUUUAUUUUUGCAGGGUUUUCUCUUGAGGAUAAGAAGGGUAGUUUAUGAUUAUAAGUCUGAUGGAAAAGGUUCGUUCAUGUACUUUAAUUGGAUUUGUAACUAAGGAAUUCUGAAAGUUUGCAUAUAUCAAGUGGCCUGAGCAUAGCUGGGCAAAGAAUGAAAGAACAUGAUUAUUAUAGUAUUGGAGCUUUCAGAGUAUGCACCUAUUAGGUCAGUCUGAAUAAUAAGUUGGUGGCAUAUGCAGAAGACACUAUUGGAAAUGAGAUUUAUACUGUUUAUGGCAUUGACGCAGAUUCUCAAGCUUUAGUUGGGAAGCCAUUGGUUAAGAGAUGAUUUAUAACGUGAUUUUUUAAUGAUGGUUGGUAUAUUUUUUUCUUUGAUCGCAGACAUACAUGUUUAAGUAAGGCUUCAUCCACGGUCAAUGGAAGCACCACGAACUCAAGGUUGAGGACAGCAACACCCUCCUCUUGGAUGAGAAGCAAGUUGCAGUUUUUGGUUGUAGAAACCUCGAAGAAAUCCUAUUGGUUGAGACUGGAGCUGAAUACAAUGUUGAUUCACUGUCCAUGCAAUGACUGCAACACAGAAGACUGUUGGCUGUCCAUCGAGCAAGGACUGGAGAGGUGGAAGGGAUGCAUCAUUCAGUAUAUUUAAUAAAGCUUAGAACUGGUAUUCGUGUGAGGUCAUGUUUUGUUUAUAAAUUUUUGGUUAUUCUGAACCCAAGUGUCAACUGAA